ensembl:misc_RNA Metazoa_SRP Metazoan signal recognition particle RNA
GCCGGGCGCGGUGGCUCACGCCUGUAAUCCCAGCACUUUGGGAGGCUGAGGCAGGUGGAUCACCUGAGGUCGGGAGUUCGAGGCUAGCCUGACCAACAUGGAGAAAACCCGUCUCUA